rnacentral:rRNA from 1 species
UAAGGAACAUGACCUUCGGCGGGGGAUAGCCGGCCCAACGGCCGGGUAAUACCGCGUACGACCACUUUGGGACAUCCCUCGGUGGUGAAAGCAGCAAUGCGCCGAUGGAGUGCCUCGCGGCCUAUCAGCUAGUUGGUGAGGUAACGGCUCACCAAGGCGACGACGGGUAGCUGGCCUGAGAGGAUGGCCAGCCACAUUGGGACUGAGACACGGCCCAGACUCCUACGGGAGGCAGCG